UGGGGAAUAUUGGACAAUGGGCGCAAGCCUGAUCCAGCAAUGCCGCGUGAGUGAAGAAGGUCUUCGGAUUGUAAAGCUCUUUUGGCGGGGACGAUGAUGACGGUACCCGCAGAAUAAGCCCCGGCUAACUUCGUGCCAGCAGCCGCGGUAAUACGAAGGGGGCUAGCGUUGCUCGGAAUGACUGGGCGUAAAGGGCGCGUAGGCGGAUUGUACAGUCAGACGUGAAAUUCCUGGGCUCAACCUGGGGGCUGCGUUUGAUACGUAUAGUCUUGAGUGAGGAAGAGGGUUGUGGAAUUCCCAGUGUAGAGGUGAAAUUCGUAGAUAUUGGGAAGAACACCGGUGGCGAAGGCGGCAACCUGGUCCUUUACUGACGCUGAGGCGCGAAAGCGUGGGGAGCAAACAGG
rnacentral:rRNA from 1 species